CAGUAGCCACGGUAAUACGAAGGGGGCUAGCGUUGUUCGGAAUCACUGGGCGUAAAGGGUGCGUAGGCGGAUUCUUAAGUCAGGGGUGAAAUCCCGAGGCUCAACCUCGGAACUGCCUUUGAUACUGGGGAUCUUGAGUCCGGAAGAGGUGAGUGGAACUGCGAGUGUAGAGGUGAAAUUCGUAGAUAUUCGCAAGAACACCGGUGGCGAAGGCGGCUCACUGGUCCGGAACUGACGCUGAGGCACGACAGCGUGGGGAGCAAACAGGAUUAGAUACCCGAGUAGUCCCUGUCUCUUAUAC
rnacentral:rRNA from 1 species